CUGGCAGUCAGUGUAGACAAGUGAUGGCCAAACUUGGCCCUCCAGCUGCUUGGGGACUACAGUUCCCAUCAUCCCUGACCACUGGUCCUGCUAGCUAGCGAUGAUGGGAAUUGUAGUCCCAAAACAGCUGGAGGGCCAAGUUUGGCCAUCACUGGUGUAGACCAAACUUCCAAG
rnacentral:miRNA from 1 species